rnacentral:rRNA from 1 species
GAAUAUUCAUCAUGUAUGCUUUUCUAAUUAUAAUGGGGGGUGGGGGAUGAAGAGGAAACUUUUCGAGCCACACACCGGAAUUUACUUUGAGGAAAUAAAGUGUUCAUAGCAAAUAAGUGUUGAAUACUACAGCAUGGAAUAACAAAAUAGGACUUUGGUAUUGUUUUGUUGGAGUAGAGAAACCAAAGUAAAGAUGAAUAGGGACAGUUGGGGCAUUGGAAUUUGAUAGUCAGAGGUGAAAUUCAUGGAUUUAUCAAAGACCAACAAAGGCGAAAGCAUUUGCCAAGGAUGUUUUCAUUGAUCAAGAACGAAAGUCAGGGGAUCGAAGACGAUUAGAUACCGUCGUAGUCUUGACCGUAAACGAUGCCGACUUGGGGGAGGUGCGAGAUGAGAAGCGGAUCUCAACCAAAGGAGAAAUCAAAGUGUAUGGGUUCUGGGGGGAGUAUAGUCGCAAGGCCGAAACUUGAAGGAAUUGACGGAAGGGCACCACCAGGAGUGGAGCCUGCGGCUUAAUUUGACUCAACACGGGAAAACUUACCAGGUCCGGACAUGAUGAGGAUUGACAGAUUGAGAGCACUUUUAAGAUUUCAUGGGAGGUGGUGCAUGGCCGUUCUUAGUUGGUGGAGUGAUUUGUCAGGUUAAUUCCGAUAACGAGCGAGACCCUGUGAUGACGGUAAUGAUUGAGUAUGUAAAUACGCGAGACGUUUCUUCAUCGACACCCCA